GACGAACGCUGGCGGCGUGCUUAACACAUGCAAGUCGAACGGAAAGGCCCUGCUUUUGUGGGGUGCUCGAGUGGCGAACGGGUGAGUAACACGUGAGUAACCUGCCCUUGACUUUGGGAUAACUUCAGGAAACUGGGGCUAAUACCGGAUAGGAGCUCCUGCUGCAUGGUGGGGGUUGGAAAGUUUCGGCGGUUGGGGAUGGACUCGCGGCUUAUCAGCUUGUUGGUGGGGUAGUGGCUUACCAAGGCUUUGACGGGUAGCCGGCCUGAGAGGGUGACCGGCCACAUUGGGACUGAGAGACGGCCCAGACGGCUACGGGAGGCAGCAGUGGGGAAUAUGGCACAAUGGGCGGAAGCGUGAUGCAGCGACGCCGCGUGCGGGAUGACGGCCUUCGGGUUGUAAACCGCUUUCGGCUGUGACGAAGCGUGAGUGACGGUAAUGAGUAAAGAAGCACCGGCUAACUACGUG
rnacentral:rRNA from 1 species